rnacentral:rRNA from 1 species
GUCGAGGAUCAUUUGCAAUGGGCGAAAGCCUGACAAUGCGACGCUGCGUGGAGGAUGAAGGCCUUCGGGUUGUAAACUCCUGUCAUUCGGGAACAAUAAAUCGGGCGUGAAUAAUGCCUGAGAUUGAUGGUACCGGAAGAGGAAGCCACGGCUAACUCUGUGCCAGCAGCCGCGGUAAUACAGAGGUGGCAAGCGUUGUUCGGAUUUACUGGGCGUAAAGGGUGCGUAGGUGGUUUUGUAUGUCGAAUGUGAAAUACCACUGCCCAACGGUGGAACUGCAUUCGAAACUGCGAAGCUUGAGUACAGGAUGGGAGAGCGGAAUUCUUGGUGUAGCGGUGAAAUGCGUUGAUAUCAAGAAGAACACCGGUGGCGAAAGCGACUCUCUGGAAUGAUACUGACACUGAGGCACGAGAGCUGGGGGAGCAAACAGGAUUAGAAACCCCUGUAGUCC